rnacentral:rRNA from 1 species
UACGUAGGGUGCGAGCGUUGUCCGGAAUUACUGGGCGUAAAGAGCUCGUAGGUGGUUUGUCGCGUUGUUCGUGAAAACUCACAGCUUAACUGUGGGCGUGCGGGCGAUACGGGCAGACUGGAGUACUGCAGGGGAGACUGGAAUUCCUGGUGUAGCGGUGGAAUGCGCAGAUAUCAGGAGGAACACCGGUGGCGAAGGCGGGUCUCUGGGCAGGAACUGACGCUGAGGAGCGAAAGCGUGGGGAGCGAACAGG